AUUGAACGCUGGCGGCAGGCUUAACACAUGCAAGUCGAACGAGUGGCGGACGGGUGAGUAAUACUUGGGAAUCUGGCUUAUGGAGGGAGAUAACGACGGGAAACUGUCUCUCAUCCCGCAUAACCUAGGAUCAGCCCAAGUGGGAUUAGGUAGUUGGUGGGGUAAAGGCACCACAAGGAGACGAUCUCUAGCUGGUCUGAGAGGAUGACCAGCCACACUGUGACUGAGACACGGCCCGGACUCCUACGGGAGGCAGCAGUGGGGAAUAUGGCACAAGGGUGGCAAGCGGAUGCAGCCAUGCCGCGUGUAUGAAGAAGGCCUUCGGGUUGUAAAGUUCUUUCGGUGACGAGGCGUUACUGACAGAAGAAGCACCGGCUAACUCCGUGCCAGCCGCCGCGGUAAUAC
rnacentral:rRNA from 1 species